rfam:Stegodyphus mimosarum contig45124, whole genome shotgun sequence.
GCCUUCGUAGUGUAGUGGUUAGCACGUUCAACGCGUAUUUCAGAGGUCCGUGGUUCGAGUCCCGGCGAGGGCA